rnacentral:piRNA from 1 species
UUUGUUUGUUUUUAUCUUGCUCCGU